rnacentral:rRNA from 3 species
GGGUUGUGAGGUUAAGCGACUAAGCGUACACGGUGGAUGCCCUGGCAGUCAGAGGCGAUGAAGGGCGUGCUAAUCUGCGAUAAGCGCCGGUAAGGUGAUAUGAACCGUUAUAACCGGCGAUACCCGAAUGGGGAAACCCAGUGUGAUUCGUCACACUAUCAUUACGUGAAUACAUAGCGUAAUGAAGCGAACCGGGGGAACUGAAACAUCUAAGUACCCCGAGGAAAAGAAAUCAACCGAGAUUCCCCCAGUAGCGGCGAGCGAACGGGGAGGAGCCCAGAGCCUGAAUCAGCAUGUGUGUUAGUGGAAGCGUCUGGAAAGGCGCGCGAUACAGGGUGACAGCCCCGUACACAAAAGCGCAUGUGUUGUGAGCUCGAUGAGUAGGGCGGGACACGUGGUAUCCUGUCUGAAUAUGGGGGGACCAUCCUCCAAGGCUAAAUACUCCUGACUGACCGAUAGUGAACCAGUACCGUGAGGGAAAGGCGAAAAGAACCCCGGCGAGGGGAGUGAAAAAGAACCUGAAACCGUGUACGUACAAGCAGUGGGAGCACCCUUUGGGGUGUGACUGCGUACCUUUUGUAUAAUGGGUCAGCGACUUAUAUUCUGUAGCAAGGUUAACCG